rnacentral:ribozyme from 1 species
GAUUCCCAAUUUUGUCUACCUCCACGCGGUGGGAAUCGGGCAACGUUCACUGAUGAACGGCAAAGAGACAAUA